rnacentral:tRNA from 1 species
AACUAUAUAGUAUAAAUAUUAUAUUUAACUUCCAAUUAAAAGAUCUUAAAUAAGUAUAGUUA